GCCGGUGUAGCUCAAUGGUAGAGCGCCAGCUUCCCAAGCUGGACACGCGAGUUCGAUUCUCGUCACCGGCUCCA
rnacentral:tRNA from 7 species